UUUUCUUAAACUAUAAGUAAUAGGUCAACUAUAUUUGUUGUAUGGAAGCAUUGUUAGCUGUACAUGUCUGCCUGGCAUGGUUCAUCUGACCUUGACCUCAUUUUCAUGGUUCAUUGGUCUUUGUUUAGCUAUCUUGGUUAAUGUUAAGUUGAUGUGACAGUUGUAAUAAAGCUUUAUACUUAGGACUAUCAACAUAAUAUCAAUGAUUAGUAAAGAAGGCGAGACAUUUCAGUGUGUGCACUCUUGU
rnacentral:lncRNA from 1 species